rnacentral:rRNA from 1 species
GGGUUGUGAGGUUAAGCGACUAAGCGUACACGGUGGAUGCCCUGGCAGUCAGAGGCGAUGAAGGGCGUGCUAAUCUGCGAUAAGCGCCGGUAAGGUGAUAUGAACCGUUAUAACCGGCGAUACCCGAAUGGGGAAACCCAGUGUGAUUCGUCACACUAUCAUUAACUGAAUCCAUAGGUUAAUGAGGCGAACCGGGGGAACUGAAACAUCUAAGUACCCCGAGGAAAAGAAAUCAACCGAGAUUCCCCCAGUAGCGGCGAGCGAACGGGGAGGAGCCCAGAGCCUGAAUCAGCAUGUGUGUUAGUGGAAGCGUCUGGAAAGGUGCGCGAUACAGGGUGACAGCCCCGUACACAAAAGCGCAUGUGCUGUGAGCUCGAUGAGUAGGGCGGGACACGUGAUAUCCUGUCUGAAUAUGGGGGGACCAUCCUCCAAGGCUAAAUACUCCUGACUGACCGAUAGUGAACCAGUACCGUGAGGGAAAGGCGAAAAGAACCCCGGCGAGGGGAGUGAAAAAGAACCUGAAACCGUGUACGUACAAGCAGUGGGAGCACAGGUUUACCUGUGUGACUGCGUACCUUUUGUAUAAUGGGUCAGCGACUUAUAUUCUGUAGCAAGGUUAACCGUAUAGGGGAGCCGUAGGGAAACCGAGUCUUAACCGGGCGUUAAGUUGCAGGGUAUAGACCCGAAACCCGGUGAUCUAGCCAUGGGCAGGUUGAAGGUUGGGUAACACUAACUGGAGGACCGAACCGACUAAUGUUGAAAAAUUAGCGGAUGACCUGUGGCUGGGGGUGAAAGGCCAAUCAAACCGGGAGAUAGCUGGUUCUCCCCGAAAGCUAUUUAGGUAGCGCCUCGUGAAUUCAUCUCCGGGGGUAGAGCACUGUUUCGGCUAGGGGGCCAUCCCGGCUUACCAACCCGAUGCAAACUGCGAAUACCGGAGAAUGUUAUCACGGGAGACACACGGCGGGUGCUAACGUCCGUCGUGAAGAGGGAAACAACCCAGACCGCCAGCUAAGGUCCCAAAGUCAUGGUUAAGUGGGAAACGAUGUGGGAAGGCCCAGACAGCCAGGAUGUUGGCUUAGAAGCAGCCAUCAUUUAAAGAAAGCGUAAUAGCUCACUGGUCGAGUCGGCCUGCGCGGAAGAUGUAACGGGGCUAAACCAUGCACCGAAGCUGCGGCAGCGAACGUAUCACCCAAGACAACUUUACGGAGUUGACGAUUGACGGAGCGAAGCGACGUCAAAGCGUUCAUUAAAGUCGAGUUGGCUUAGGGAUACGUUCGUUGGGUAGGGGAGCGUUCUGUAAGCCUGUGAAGGUGUGUCGUGAGGCAUGCUGGAGGUAUCAGAAGUGCGAAUGCUGACAUAAGUAACGAUAAAGCGGGUGAAAAGCCCGCUCGCCGGAAGACCAAGGGUUCCUGUCCAACGUUAAUCGGGGCAGGGUGAGUCGACCCCUAAGGCGAGGCCGAAAGGCGUAGUCG